rnacentral:rRNA from 1 species
UGCAGUCGAGCGGAUGAAGGAGCUUGCUCCUGGAUUCAGCGGCGGACGGGUGAGUAAUGCCUAGGAAUCUGCCUGGUAGUGGGGGACAACGUUUCGAAAGGAACGCUAAUACCGCAUACGUCCUACGGGAGAAAGCAGGGGACCUUCGGGCCUUGCGCUAUCAGAUGAGCCUAGGUCGGAUUAGCUAGUUGGUGAGGUAAUGGCUCACCAAGGCGACGAUCCGUAACUGGUCUGAGAGGAUGAUCAGUCACACUGGAACUGAGACACGGUCCAGACUCCUACGGGAGGCAGCAGUGGGGAAUAUUGGACAAUGGGCGAAAGCCUGAUCCAGCCAUGCCGCGUGUGUGAAGAAGGUCUUCGGAUUGUAAAGCACUUUAAGUUGGGAGGAAGGGCAUUAACCUAAUACGUUAGUGUUUUGACGUUACCGACAGAAUAAGCACCGGCUAACUCUGUGCCAGCAGCCGCGGUAAUACAGAGGGUGCAAGCGUUAAUCGGAAUUACUGGGCGUAAAGCGCGCGUAGGUGGUUCGUUAAGUUGAAUGUGAAAUCCCCGGGCUCAACCUGGGAACUGCAUCCAAAACUGGCGAGCUAGAGUAUGGUAGAGGGUGGUGGAAUUUCCUGUGUAGCGGUGAAAUGCGUAGAUAUAGGAAGGAACACCAGUGGCGAAGGCGACCACCUGGACUGAUACUGACACUGAGGUGCGAAAGCGUGGGGAGCAAACAGGAUUAGAUACCCUGGUAGUCCACGCCGUAAACGAUGUCAACUAGCCGUUGGGAGCCUUGAGCUCUUAGUGGCGCAGCUAACGCAUUAAGUUGACCGCCUGGGGAGUACGGCCGCAAGGUUAAACUCAAAUGAAUUGACCGGGGCCCGACAAGCGGUGGAGCAUGUGGUUAAUUCGAACCACCCGAAAAACUUACCAGGCUUGACAUCCAUGACUUUCCAAAAUGGAUGGUGCCUUCGGAACUU